rnacentral:rRNA from 1 species
UACGGAGGGCGCAAGCGUUGUUCGGAAUUACUGGGCGUAAAGCGCGUGUAGGCGGCCAGGUAAGUCGGAUGUGAAAGCCCGGGGCCCAACCCCGGAACUGCACCCGAUACUGCUUGGCUGGAGUCCCGGAGAGGAUGGCGGAAUUUCCGGUGUAGAGGUGAAAUUCGUAGAUAUCGGAAGGAACACCAGUGGCGAAGGCGGCCAUCUGGACGGUGACUGACGCUGAGACGCGAAAGCGUGGGGAGCAAACAGG